AUUGAACGCUGGCGGCAGGCCUAACACAUGCAAGUCGAGCGAGCGGCGGACGGGUGAGUAAUGUAUGGGGACUGCCCGCUAGAGCGGGAUAACUACUCGAAACGGUAGCUAAUACCCCCUACUAGCUGAUAACCCAUCGGGGAUUAGCUAGUAGGUGAGGUAAUGGCUCACCUCGUCGACGAUCCCUAGCUGGUCUGAGAGGAUGAUCAGCCACACUGGGACUGAGACACGGCCCAGACUCCUACGGAGGCAGCAGUGGGGAAUAUUGCACAAUGGGCGCAAGCCUGAUGCAGCCAUGCCGCGUGUAUGAAGAAGGCCCUAGGGUUGUAAAGUACUUUCAGUCGGGAGGCGUUACCGACAGAAGAAGCACCGGCUAACUCCGUGCCAGCAGCCGCGGUAAUUC
rnacentral:rRNA from 1 species